GGUCGCGUGGCGAAAUGGCAUCGCGUCUGACUACGACCUGUGUAAUCAGGAGAUCGCGGGUUCGACCCCCGUCGUGACCU
rnacentral:tRNA from 2 species